CGGGAUGUAGCGCAGUCUGGUAGCGCACUAGCAUGGGGUGCUAGGGGUCGCUGGUUCGAAUCCAGUCAUCCCGAC
rnacentral:tRNA from 1 species